UUAAAUGUAGAAUGUCCACAUCAAUUGGAUAUAAAGUAAAGUCCACUGUGUAACCAAUAAUAGAACAAAGAAAUCGGAAUUUUACAUAUGUGCUGUUAAUAAAUGGCCACGGUUGAUGAAUUGAUGAAUGUUUUGUCUUAAAACUACAUUUUAGAAUUUGGUUUCGUAUUAGUACAGUAUAUUUUGAUCUAUAUCUAAAAAGACAAGUCCAAUCAUAAUCAUCCAGACAUUUAUAAUUAUCUAUUAUAUUAAAAAUUAGUAUAUUUUCUG
rnacentral:lncRNA from 1 species